CAAGACUGACAGUGGCGAGACAUGAAGCGUACCAGACUACCAGUUGAAAGUAAAAGUGCAUAAAUGAUCUGGCGUUACCUUGCCUCCCUUCUGCCUUCUUCCAACUCUCAUCUUCACCAUUCUAUUAUUCUAUUUCGUGUACAAACGCCCAGACAAUCAGCUUAUUUGCAACCCUCGGCCCUCGCACAUCCAACCUAUAUCUUUCUCCUCGUUAUUCUCUCUAGUGAUAUGUAUCUGCAUAUUAUUUACUCGUGAAUGUGUUCUGUUCUGUGUUAACCUCAAGCUAAGAAGAUAGUGCUUUCAAAUAGUCCUGUUGAAUGUGGAUAUUUUUUUAUGUAUUAGCAAAGAUCCGUCCAGAAAUCUGUGAUUUUCUUUCAAAGUAUCGUAAUCAACACGAUAUCACUAUUUUCAGGUUCUCGCAUUCAUAUAAAAAAAUGGCUCGUGGUCUUUCAAUCGUACUUGGUUUAAUCAUUGUGAUUAACAUACUCGCCCUAUUACACAAACACGAAAAGAUCACUGAAUUAGAUGAUGUACAGCUGGAGAUUUUGCGAAAGCCUGGAGAUUUCGAUAUUCAUAAAUUGGCAAUAUUGUAUGAUAUUUACGAUACAUCUCCAGAUCGUUUGAAUGAAACAUUCCUUGAGAAUCCAGACUUGGAAAAGAAACUCGAGGCACAUUUCAUAAAAGAAGCAGUGGAUAGAUCGUUUCUAAUGAUACAAACAGCUUUAUCGACAUAUGCAGUCAUCGUACUUGAAAUGUCCAAUCAACCCAGCUCCAGAUCCGCGAAGACAGCAGUUUUUCAUGUGCUCGCUCUCCUUUAUUACAUACCUUCCCCUACAGUGCAUAACUUUUUCAUCGAUUUGUUAUCCCGGCGGUUUGCUGUAUUUU